rnacentral:rRNA from 1 species
GACUGCUAUCAGUAUUUUUGUGUGCCUGAGUAUGGUACAGCUAAUGGCCGUCUUCAUUUCCAUGCGGUGCACUUUAUGCGGACACUUCCUACAGGUAGCGUUGACCCUAAUUUUGGUCGUCGGGUACGCAAUCGCCGCCAGUUAAAUAGCUUACAAAAUACGUGGCCUUAUGGUUACAGUAUGCCCAUCGCAGUUCGCUACACGCAGGACGCUUUUUCACGUUCUGGUUGGUUGUGGCCUGUUG